rnacentral:lncRNA from 1 species
ACACUAGCUGUCUGUGUCAAGGCCACGCAGAAAUCUAUUGGAAAUCGCUGUGGAAACAAACGCAAAUGAAAAGCCGCAAAGAGCAAAGUUGCAGGCAACAGAAGCCAACUCUGGGUAACAAGCAAAAAGGGAAGGAGAAGGAUGCAAGGGCUGCUCAGAGAAUAGAUAAUAUAAUAAAUAUUAAUGACAAUAAUAUGAGACUGAAGACACCACAUGGUAAGAAAGAGGUAAAACAUCUGUCCUUUCUCAAGAAACCAUUUUUUUGUUGUUGUUUGUUUGUUUUUUGUUUUAGAAAAAGGUAAAACAGGUAUGAGAGAAAGAGUUUGAAGGACAGCUCAUGUCUUAUUGAGUGGGAGAAGGUUAGAUAGCCAACAUUGAGGAUGUGGCAUUUGAAAUACGCCUUAAGACACUGGUAGAAUUUCCAAAGGCAAAGGUGUUUCACAAAGAAGAAAUAACACAACAAAAGCCUGAAGAUGGGAAAGUAUAGGAUAUGCCUACAAGGGCAAGUUGUGGUCAUAUUAGGAAGACCUUGAAUGCCACGCUAAGGAAUCUGUAUUUAAUUUGUAGACACUGAAAGUUGCUUAAAGUGUCUGAAUGAGAGAGUUACAUGGUUAAAAUGUAAUUGAAUUUUGGAAAACAACGAUGGCACCAAAUAAGAGAGUGAUCCUUUAGUGCCCAUGCUAGGGGAACCUGCUUUGGUCUAAAUCUUAUUCCAUCUCCUAAAAACUGAUUUAUAAGUGGAAUGAUGCAAAGAAGGGAAAUGAUUACAGCUGAUCCAUUUCCCUUGGAAACACUAGCUAUCGAUUCCUUUAUCCCCAGAGCUGUCUGUCUGGUAUAAUAAAUAUUAAUAACAAUAAUAUGAGACUGAAGAUACCACGUGGUUAGGAAAGAGGUAAAACAUCUGUCCUUUCUCUUUUUUUUUUUUUCUCAAGAAACCAGUUUAAAAAAAAAAAAAGUAAACAGGUAUGAGAGGAAGAGUUUGAAGAACUCAUGUCUUAUUGAGUAAGAGAAGGUUAGAGUAGCCAACAUUGAUUCUUGUUCUUCUUGAAUCCUGGCUGUUCAGCUUUUCCUCCACUGAUUUUUAUCAGUGGAAGCCAAAGAACUCUAACUGAUGCAAGAGACAGUUGCAAUAGCAGGUGCUCACUAGAGGUUUGCUCAUCAUCCAUGUGGUUUAUCAGAUAUGAGCAGAUGAGUUUUUAACUCUAUCACAGCUCUAAAAGAUCUACUGAGAAAAACAUCCUUAAAGAAAAGGCAGUCAAAGAAAGUUCUAAUGGCAAUAUUUAUUAAUAUUACUUAAAAGGCCAAACUCUAUAGCCGAUAAGAUAAAGCAAAGGGAAAGUAAAGAAACUUUUGUUGGGAUGUUUUAGGCUGAUAUAUUUAUAUCAGCAUACGAAUGAGUGAUUCAACCUACUAGUUAUUGAGGAAUAUUACAAAGCAAAAGCAGUGUGGUUCUGGUGUAGGAACAGAUGAACGGAACAGAGGGAGAGUUCAGAAAUAGAUCUGUGUGCAUAUGGGAAUUUGAUAUACAAUAAAUGUGGUAAAAAUGGAAAAGAAUGCCUUGUUUAGAAUAUAGUAUUGGGAAAACUGGCUCAUCAUCUGGAGAAAAAGCUGGACUUUUACGUUACACUAUAGAAAGAUGGACUCUAAAUGAAUUAAAGACCUAAAUGAGACAGGUGAGUAUUCAGAACCAGAAGAAGAAAAUAAAGAAUUAUCUUUGUGGAGUUUAUUAAACCAUUGAAGUACAAACAAUAAGUGGAAAAUUGAUGACUUAGCUACAUUAAUGUUACAGCAUUUUUUUCAGCAAAGGUUACCAAAAACAAAGUUAAUAGACAAGGAGAAGAUAGUUGCAGCAUCAAAAACAAAGGAUAAUAUUUACAUCAGUGCUGUCCACUAGAAAUGAAAUGUGAGUCACAUAUGUAAUUUAAAAUUUUUAGUCACAUUAAAAACUAAAACCAUUCUGGCCAGGCAUAGUGGCUCACGCCUGUAAUCCCAGCACUUUAGGAGGGUGAGGUGGGUGGAUUGCUUGAGCUCAGUUCAAUACCAGCCUGGGCAACACGGUGAAACCCUGUCUCUACAAAAAAUACAAAAAAAAUUAGUCAGGCAUGCUGGCUCGCACCUGUAGUCCCAGCUACUUGAGGGUCUGAGGCUGGAGGAUCACUUGAGCCCAGGAGGCAGAGAUUGAAGUGAGCUGAGAUUGCACCACUGUACUCCAGCCUGGGCAACAGAGUGAGAACCUGUCUCAAAAAAAAAAAAAAUGUAUAAAGUCAUUGUUUCUGAUUUUUAUUAUGAAGAGUUUCAAUUUCAACAUAAAUUGUUGUUCCUGUCUGGCUAAAUCACUAAUAAGCUCUUCCUUUCUUUUGGAGUUUAAAAUUUAGCUCUUUCAUAUGUAGUGUGAUAUCUGUGAGAAAACAUAAAUCAUAUUGUCAUUUUGUCUUUGAUUAUUGAAUAUUCCUUCCAAUUCAGGAACAUAUUAAAUUGGAGUUAAAAGUACUUUCUAAAAAUUCUUGGCCGGGCGCAGUGGCUCACGCCUGUAAUCCCAGCAAUUUGGGAGGCCGAGGCGGGUGGAUCACGAGGUCAGGAGAUUGAGACCAUCCUGGCUAACAUGGUGAAACUCCAUCUCUACUAAAAAAAAAAAAAAAAAAAAAAAAAUUAGCCGGGCUUGGUGGCGGGCACCUGUAGUCCCAGCUACUUGAGAGGCUGAGGCUGGAGAAUGGCGUGAACCCAGGAGGCAGAGCUUGUAGUGGGCUGAGAUUGUGCCACUGCACUCCAGCCUGGGUGACAGAGCGAGACUCCAUCUCAAAAAAAAAAUAAAAAUAAAAUAAAAUAAAAAUUCUUCCACAACUAUUAUCAAUGAGCACAGGCAGAGAACACAAGAUUAAGAAAAUCAGUCUUAAUUCUAUCAGUCUAUUUCUUUCAAAAGUUCCAUAACUUGGCAAUGAUUUAUAGCAUUAGUGUAUAGAUACUAAAUGACAUUUAUUUAUUUAUUUAGAGGCAGUCUUGCUGUGUCACCCAGAUUGGAGUGAAGUGAUGCGAUCUCGGCUCACUGAAACCUCUGCCUCCUGGGCUCAAGCGAUUCUCCUGCCUUAGCCUCCCGAAUAGCUGGGAUUACAGGCACCCGCCACCAUGCCGAGCUAAUUUUUGUAUUUUUAGUAGAGACUGGGUUUCACCAUGUUGGCCAGGCUGAUCUUGAACACCUGACUUCAGGUGAUCUGCCUGCCUUGGCCUCCCAAAGUGCUGGGAUUACAGGUGUGAGGCACCACGCCUGGCCCUAAAUGACUUUAAAGUAAUUGUACUCCAUAACAGUUUUCAUAUGGUGUGCUUUAAAAAACUGAGCACAAAGAUUUUCAAUACAUAUCAUACAGUGGAACAAAGCAAUAAAUGAAAUAGAAAUCUCUUGUCUUACCAUUCCAACAAAUCUGGAUUUUUACCUAACAUAUAUGGGCCACCAUCUGUCAUUAUAGGCACAAAUUCUUCUUUGAUGGUUAUAAAAGAUGAAAAACUGCUCCAGAAAUUUAGGUGUUUUUAAUUCAAAUUUAAUAAAACUUCAUAGUUUUGGAAGUCCUUUGAGACACAAAUAUACCCAAAGUAUUAAUAGACAUUGUCAUUUUUUUGAGAUAGAGUCUCACUCUGUAGCCCAGGCUGGAGUGCAAUGGUACGAUCUUGGCUCACUGUAACCUCCACCUCCCAGGUUCAAGUGAUUCUCCUGCCUCAGCCUCCCGAGUAGCUGGGUUUCCAGGUGCCUGCCACCACGCCUGGCUAAUUUUUUUUUUUUUUAAUAGAGGCGGGGUUUCACCAUGUUAGCCAGGCUGGUCUUGAACUUGUGACCUAAGGUAAUCCACCCGCCUUGGCCUCCCAAAGUGCUGGGAAUGCAGAUGUGAGCCACCAUGCCCGGCUGACAUUGUCUCUUAUAUCACAUCAUCCAUUUUAAAGCUAAAGAAAAGUACUUGUAAUUUUUUAAAUUGUUAAUCAAUUGAUCUUUGAUACUGUAUCGUUGGAAAGUUCUUGUAAUCUAUGGGCCAUUUUUUAAUGGCUUAGUUGAAGGUCUUUCACUUUUUGUAAAAUAUCUUCUUUAGUCUUUUUCUCAUAAUUUUCUAGCAAAAUUUCCACAACUGAAAUAAUUUGUUUUACUAUCUGACUUAAAAUGACUUUCAUUUUUCAUCCCUCCCUUUCCCCUCCCUCCCUCCCUCCCUCCCUCCCUUCCUUCCUUCCUUCCUUCCUUCCUUUUCUGUUUCCUUCCUCCCCUCCCUCCUUUCUUUCUGUAAGAAUCCAACACAUCUUUUAGCUGUCUAAAAUUACAAGCUCAGGGGCCAGGUGCGGUGGCUUAUGCCUGUAAUCCCAGCAUUUUGGGAGGCUGAGGUGGGCAAAUCAACUGAGGUCAGGAGUUUGAAACCAGCCUGACCAACAUGGCAAAAUCUCAUCUCUACCAAAAAAUACAAAAAAAUUAACCAGGCCUGGUGGCGUGCACCUGUAGUCCCAGCUACUUGGGAGGCUGAGGAAUGAGAAUCGCUUGAACCUGGGAGGCAGAGGUUGCAGUGAGCCAAGAUCGUGCCACUGCACUCCAGCCUGGGCAACACAGCAAGACUCUGUCUUAAAAACAUAAAUAAAAUAAAAUUAUAAUCUCAGAUCCUGUUAAGAAGCAUUAAGGAUUUUUUGGUCGUAUAUUCAACUCCUAUUUUGAACUACAAUUUUGAUUUCUUUUUUGACUUCCAAGGGGAAAUGUCUUACCAAAUUCAUUAUGUAUUUACUUAAAAUGUCUCUUAAUAUUGUCUAAUUUAUUGCUUAAAAUAUUUUUUACACACAAAUAGCUUUUUUCAUUUUGCUGUGUUACAGCAAAUUGCAAUUUCCAUUCAUCGUAGAAUUUGUGACAUGCUUUCUUUCAGUCCUUUUCUUUUUUUUUUUUUCUUUUUUGAGACGGAGUCUUGCUCUGUCCCCCAGGCUGGAGUGUAGUGGUGCGAUCUUGGCUCACUGCAAGCUCUGCCUCCCGGGUUCACGCCAUUCUCCUGCCUCAGCCUCCCGAGUAGCUGGGACUACAGGCGCCCGCCACCACACCUGGGUAAUUUUUUGUAUUUUUAGUAGAGACGGGGUUUCACUGUGUUAGCCAGGAUGGUCUCGAUCUCCUGACCUCAUGAUCCACCCGUCUCGGCCUCCCAAAGUGCUGGGAUUACAGGCGUGAGCCACUGCGCCCGGCAUUUUUUUUUUUUUUUUUGAGACGGAGUCUUGCUCUGUCCCCCAGGCUGGGGUGCAAUGGCACGAUCUUGGCUCACUGCAACCUCUGCCUCCUGGGUUCAAGCGAUUCUCCUGCCUCAGCCUCCUGAGUAGCUGAGAUUACAGGCACCCGCUACCAUGCCCGGUUAAUUUUUGUGUUUUUAGUAGAGAUGGGGUUUCACCAUAUUGGUCAGGCAGCUCUCGAACUCCUGACCUCAGGUGAUCUGCCCGCCUCGGCCUCCCAAAGUGCUAAGAUUACAGGCGUGAGCCACUGCACCCGGCCAGUCCUUUUCUUUUAAUAGCCCAGUUGUAGUACUAGUUUCUGUAUCUCCACUUUAUUCUGCAUUAGUGGUAUGCAUUCAUUUUAUAUUUAAAUUUGGUUCAUUUUUAAGCUACACAGGAAGGGGAACAUCACACUCUGGGGACUGUUGUGAGGUGGGGGGAGGGGGGAGGGUUAGCACGAGAUAUACCUAAUGCUAAAUGACGAGUUAAUGGGUGCAGCACACCAGCAUGGCACAUGUAUACAUAUGUAACUAACCCGCACAUUGUGCACAUGUACCCUGAAACUUAAAGUAUAAUAAUAGUAAUAAUAAUAAUAAUAAAAACAAAGAAAAAAAUUAAAAAAAUAAAAUAAAAAUGAUUUUAUUAUGGUUACAAUACUGGGUAUUUAAAUUUAAUUUCUUCUCAGACGAAGGAAACUAAGAGAAUUACCAGUUGACCUACCUUUAAAGAAUGACUAAGGAUAUUCUUCAAAGGAAAUGAUAGCAGCAGGCAUAGAACUUUAGAAAGAAAGAAAGAACAACGGAAUGAGAAAAAAUAGGGUAACUAUAAUAGAAUAUUUUUUAUCUCUUAUGUUUUAAAAAUUAUGUUUAAUGGUUUAAAUUUGUUUCCUAUUGCAGCUCUAACAAGUCACUGCAAACACAAGGGCUUAAACAAUACAAAUGUAUUAUCUGAUAGUUCUAGAGAGCAGAAGCACAAAAUGAGUCUCACUAGGCUAAAAUCAAGGUGUCAGCAGGGCUGCAUUCCUUCUGGAGACUAGGGGAGACUGCAUUUCCUUGUCUCUCCCAUUUUCUAGAGGACAGCUGCUUUUGUUGGCUCAUGGCACCUUUUUUCCACGUUCAAAGACAGCAGUGUUGGUUGAGUCCGUCUCACACUCACACUGCUACCUCUCUGGUUUUCUUUUUUGUCUCUCUCUCCCACACUUAUGUCUGUCUGUCUGUCUGUCUGUCUGUCCGUCUGUACAUUUGUGUGAGAUGGGGUCUUGCUAUAUUGCCCAGAGUGGCCUGGAACUCCUUGGCUCAAGCAAUCCUCUCACCUCAUCCUCCCCAGUAGCUGGGACUCUGGGCAUAGAACUGACUGCUCUUCCACUUUUAUGAAUCCUUACGACUAUAUUGGGCUCCCCUUGAUAGUAUAGAAUAAUCUCUCUUUUUAAAGUCAGCUGAUUAGCAGCCUUAAUUCCAUCUGCUCCCUUACUUCUCCUUUGCCACAUAACCUAUUAACUGUUUUGGGUUAUUAGGAUGUGGACAUCUUUGAGAGUGGGCAUUAUUCUGCCCAUCACAGGAUUAAAAAAUUAUAAUACCAAUUGGAUGUGAUAUUCAAUGUAUGUGGAGGAAAUACUUAAGACAUUAUGUUUAAGAGGUGGGGAGGGAUAAAUUGCUAGGGAAUUAUGCUGAAUUAAAAAAAAGCCACCUAUAGGUUGUAUACUGUGUGAUUUCAUCUUUCUAACAUUUUGAAAUGACGAAAUUUUAGAAAUGGAUAUAUAUUGCCAGGAUAAAUGGUUGCCAGAGGGUGGGGGCAGGGGAAGGUAGGAGGAUGUGGUUAUGAGAGCAACACAGAGGAUCUUUGUGUUUUGGAACAGUUGAAUAUCUUGAUUGUAGUAGUGGGUACAUGACCUACAUAGGUGAUAACAUUGUAUAAAACAAUAUAUAAACACAUAAUAAAAAUAAAGACAAAAACAGAAAACAAUAUAUAAACACACACACACACACAAAUGAAUACCAGUAAAAUUAGAACAUCUGAAUAUAAUCAGUAGAUUGCAUCAAUUUCAAUAUCCUGCCUUUUUAUGAUUAUUUGAUAAUUUCUGAAGGGAUGAGAAGUAAUGGAUUUAAUUUGUACAUUAUUCCAAGUUUCUCUGCAGAAUGCAGGAUAUUUUAGGAUAUUAGUCAUCUUGUUAGUCUAGAAUCUUAAAAAGUGGUUGGCAGAGGUGGGAGGGAGGUGGAUGUGGGUGUAAAAGGCAUCAGGUGGGCUCCCUGUCGUGUUGGAACUGUUUAGCAUCUUGACUGUGGCAGUAGAUACACAAACCUGCACAGAAGAUAAAAAUAUAUGGAACUUGGCCGGGUGUGGUGGCUCAUGCUUGUAAUCCCAGGACUUUGAGAGGCCAAGGUGGGUGGAUCACCUGAGGUCAGGAGAUCGAGAACAGCCUGGCCAACAUGGUGAAACCUGUCUCUACUAAAAAUACAAAAAUUAGCCGGGUGUGGUGGUGGGAGCCUGUAAUCCCAGCUGCUUGAGAGGCUGAGGCAGGGGAAUGGCUUGAACCCGGGAGGCAGAGGUUGUAGUGACCCGAGAUUGUGCCACAGCACUCCAGCCUGGGCAACAGAGGGAGACUCUAUCUCAAAAAAAAAAAAAAUAUAUAUAUAUAUAUAUACACACACACACACACACACACACGUAUAUAUACACAUAUACAUAUAUAUAAUAUAUAUAUGGAACUUAAUACAUCACACACAUGCAAAUGAUUCCAAUGGGAAAUCUGAAUAUGAUCUGUGGAUUGUAUCAAUGUCAGUAUCCUAGUUAUACUGUUAUGAUACAGUUUUUUAAAGUUUUACCAUUGAGGAAAACUGGAAUCAGCAUAUAAGGAAUCUAUCUCUGUUAUUUCUUACAACUGCAUGUGAAUCUACAAUUAGCAGAACAAACAUUUCAAUUUAAAAAAGUGAAAGAGUGAAAGGACCUAAUGGAAGUAAGGUUUCUACACUCAAAGUGGUAAAAUGUCAACGCUGUUAGACUGUGAUAAAUUAUGCAAGUAUAUUGUAAUACCUAGGGAAACCAUUAAGAAAACUAUUCAAAGAAAUAUACUCAAAAAACUAUAAAGUCAAAAUGUAAUUCUAAAACAUUUUCAAGUGACCCACAGAAAGGUGAGAAAGGGGAAACAGAGGAAUGAAAAACAGAGGGAACAAACAGUAAACAAUUAAUAAAAUAGCCAACUUAAGCCCAGCACACCAAUCAUUACUUUCAAUAUAACUAAUCUAAAUACGCCAAUUAAAAGGCAGAGAUUGGCAGGAUGGAUAAGUUUAAUUAUGAAGGAUGGUUUAAGUAGGUAUCACUAUAACUCUUGUUGUUUGCACAAAAUAUUCAAAUAAACACAUUGCAGUGUUACAUAGUUCACAGAAAAAAAUCAUUCAAACCAAAUCAGUCCAUUGGUACUGGCUACAUUGGUGAUGUUUUUAUGUAUAAUACAUAAGAAAUAAUACAUAAGAAUAUGUUAUGUAUAAUACAUAAGAAUAUUAUGUAUAACACAUAAGAAAUAAUGUAUGUAUAAUAUAUAUAAUGUAUAAGAAAAAUGUGUACUAUAAUAAAACAAUAACAAUAUCUUAACAUAAGUUAAAGUAAAACGUACAUUUACCAAAAUGCUGCUUCAGUUUUAAAUUUAAAUUAAAUGGAGUGAAAUGAAAUGAAAAAUUCAUUUCUAGCUGCAUUUCAAGUGCUCAAUUGUCACAGACCCAGCGUAGACAUAGAAAUCCUAUAUAGCAAAAACAACCCAAAAUUUAAAAAAAAUAAAAAUGUGUAAAGCAUAUUAAUAGGUAAUUCAGUGACAAAGACAUUCACUAGUAAUCUGAAAGUUAAUUAAAAUUCUACAUGGGUUCUGAGAGCUUUUACCCUUAAGUAAUACAUAUCAGUUAAAUUCACAUUUCCUCCACCAAAGUAGUCUCUUCGUCACACUUAUCAUCAAGGGGAAAAUAAGUAGCUAGGAAGUGCAGUCCUACUCUGUGCUGAGUAAAAGGUCUGGAAAUAUUUGCAGAAUAGCAUUAUUAUCUACAUAAGCCACAUAUGAAUUUUUUUUUAAAUAUUUGUGAAGUGGAGAAUUGAAAGCAAUCUAGCUGUCUCUCACCAGGUGGAUGGCACUUUUUUUUUUUUUUUGAGAUGGAGUUUUGCUUUUAUUGCCCAGGCUGCAGCGCAAUGGUGCAAUCUCAGCUAGCUCACUGCAACCUCUACCUCCCGGGUUCCAGCGAUUCUCCUGCCUCAGCCUCCUGAGUAGCUGGGAUUACAGGCAUGCACCACCACACCUGGCUAAUUUUGUAUUUUUAGUGGAGACAGGAUUUAUCCAUGUUGGUCAGGCUGGUCUUGAACUCCUGAACUCAGGUGAUCCGCCCGCCUCGUCCUUCCAAAGUGCUGGGAUUGCAGGCAUUAGCCACUGUGCCUGGCCGGCACUUUUAAUUUAUGUUAAUUAUUGCUACCAUUCAUUGAGAGUUUAAUUUGUGACUCACUGUCCUAAGAUUUUACAUUUAAUUUUUUUUAUUUUUUGAGAUGGAGAUUCACUCUGGUUGCCCAGGCUGGAGUGCAGUGGUGCAAUCUCGGCUCACUGCAACCUCCGCCUCCCAGUUUCAAGCCUCGGCCUCCCAAAGUGCCGGGAUUACAGGCGUGAGCCACCGCACCUGGCCAAGAUUUUGCAUUUAUUAAUCGUAUUUAACCACCCUAUACAUCCAUGAGGUGGAUAUACUGAUAAUUUUCCUUGUAUUACAUUAGGAGUAACUUGCCCAGGAUCACCCCUCUGUUAAGUGGCAGAGCUGGAACUUGAACUCACUAUUUUCUGACUUUAUAACCCAUGCCCUUUUAUCCUUUAGGCUGUACUGCCUCUUUUGAUCAAUUUGCCCCAUUCAUGGUUAUGCAUGCUGAUGGAGACUGCUUUUGAAGCUUCUUUAUUGAAGGAGCGGGAGAAGAGUAAGAAAGUUGGAGCAGACUAAGAAGACAGGAAAGAAAGAAAAGCAAAAGUAAGAUAGAGGUCAGUGAGAAAUGAGUGACAAAAUGGGUGUUGGUUACCUCACAGGUUUUUUAAAUUUCACAAGGCCCUACUCUGUCUUUGUCAUUCUGUCCUCCAGAUUUCUUGCUGGUGGCUCUCCUUGUCUGAACACAACCACAGGGCACGUGAAUCUGUAAUACAAUCCAUAAUGGUCAACUUCCCAUGACACAGAUUAGAGUGCAGAAAAACCUCCAGCAUACCAUGUUUUCUUCUUUUUUAAUUCUUUUUUUCCAUUCAUUUUGGUGGGAGCAUAUCCUUAAUAGCUUCUUGAGAAAGAGUACAUGGGAAUUAAGUUUUUGAGACCUUGAUUGUCUGAAAAUGUUUUUGUUGUUGUUGUUUUAAGACAGAGCCAAGGGCUGGGUGCAGUGGCUCGUGCCUUUAGUCCCAUCACUUUGGGAGGCUGAGGUGGGCGGAUCACCUGAGAUCAGGAGUUUGAGACCAGCUUGAUCAACAUGGAGAAACCCCAUCUCUACUAAAAAAAUACAAAAUUAGUGGAGCAUGGUGGUGCAUGCCUCUAAUCCCAGCUACUUGGGAGGCUGAGGCAGGAAAAUUGUUUGGACCUGGGAGGCGGAGGUUGUGGUUAGCCGAGAUUGCGCCAUUGCACUCCAGCAUGGGCAACAAGAGUGAAACUCUGUCUCAAAAAAAAAAAAAAAACAACCCAAGCCAAUCUGGGUGCAGUGGCUCACGUCUGUAAUCCCAGCAUUUUGGGAGGCCGAGGUGGGUGGAUCACUUGAGGUCAGGAGUUCGAGACCAGCCUGGCCAGCAUGGUGAAACCCUGUCUCUAGUAAAAUACAAAAAUUAGCUGAACGUGGUGGCGCGCCCUGUAAUCCCCACCUACUCAGGAGGCUGAGGUGAGAGAAUCACUUGAACCUGGGAGGCAGAGGUUGCAGUGAGCCUAGAUCACACUACUGCACUCCAGCCUAGGCGACAGAGUGAGACUGAGCCAGACGCCUUGGCUCACGCCUGUAAUCCCAGCACUUUGGGAGGCCGAGGCGGGUGGAUCACCUGAGGUCAGGUGUUCAAGACUAGCAUGGCCAACAUGGUGAAACACCGUCUCUACUAAAAAUACAAAUUUUAGCUGGGCAUGGUGUGGCAUGCACCUGUAAUCCCAGCUACUCAGGAGGCUGAGGCGAUAGAAUCGCUCAAAUCUGGAAGAUGGAGGUUGCAAUGAGCUGAGAUCCGGCCACUGCACUCCAGCCUGGGCGACAGAGCGAGACUCCAACUCAAAAAACAAACAAACAACAACAACAAAAAAAAAAACAAGACAGAGUCUCCCUCUGUCGCCCAGGCUGGAGUACAGUGGCACGAUCUUGGCUCACUGCAACCUCUGCCCUCCAGGUUCCAGCGAUUCUCCCGCCUCAGCCUCCCGAGUAGCUGGGAUUACAAGUGCGUGCCACCACGCCCAUCUAAUUUUUGUAUUUUUAGUAGAGAUGGGUUUUCACCCUGUUUUGGCCAGGCUGGUCUUGAACUCCUGGCCUCAGGUGAUCCUCCCACUUCGGCCUCCCAAAGUGCUGGGAUUAUAGGUGUGAGCCAUGGUGGAUGGCCUGAAAAUGUUUUUCUUCUUCUCUCCUGUGUAUUUGAUGGUUUGGCUGAAUCUAGAAUUGCAGUAGGAAUGCUUUAACUCAAGAAUUUUUGUUGUUUUUGUAAAGACAGUGUAUAAUUGCCAAACAGAUUAUUCCUGUCCACUGCACAGACAAAAUCAAUUCACUGAGAUCACAGCAUUGCAGUAUAAUUUAAUUGACAUGAGGCUGGCCCAUGCAGGAGAAAUAGAGUGAUCAUUCAAAUCAGCUACCCUGAAGGCUUGAAGGCUAUGGUUUUUAUGGUCAAUUUGGUGGGUAGGGGUCUAGGGAAUGGGUGCUGCUGAUUUGUUGGGGAUGAAAUCACAGGAGUGUGGAGAAUGGUCCUUGUGUGCUGAGUCAGCUUCUGGGUGAGAAUAUCAGGAUUAGUUGAGUCCUGAGUCAUGAGCGUGGGUGGGAUCAGUCUGAAAACUAUUGCAAAAAAUAAUAUAAUAAUUUUAGGUUUUACAAUAGUGAUGUUAUCUGGAAGAGCAAUUGGAGAAGUCACAAAUCUUGUGACCUCUGGGCACAUGAUCCCUGAGCAGUAAGGGAUUAUGGAAACUACUCCUAUAUUUUAGUAGAGUUCAGGUCCCUCCCAUAAGCCUAAUCUUGUGGUUUUACAAAGGCGGUUUUCAGUCCCUGAGCAAGGAAAGGCUUAGUUUUUAUUUAUCUAUUUAGAGACGGAGUUUCGCUCUUGUUGCCCAGGCUAGAGUGCAAUGGCGACAUCUCGGCUCACUGCAACCUCUGCCUCCUUGUUCAAGCAAUUCUCUUGCCUCAGCCUCACGAGUAGCUAGGAUUACAGGCAUCCACCGUUACCCCUGGCUAUUUUUUUGUAUUUUUAGUAGAGAUGGGGUUUCACCAUGUUGGUCAGGCUAGUCUCGAACUCUUCACCUCAGGUGAUCCACCCACCUCGACUUCCCCAAAUGUUGGGAUUACAGGCAUGAGCCACCACACCCGGCUGGAAGGGCUUAGUUUUAGGGAGGGACUAUUAUCAUCCUUGUUUUAAAGUUAAAAUACAAACUAAAUUUCUCCCAAAGUUAGCUUGGACUACACCCGGGAAUGACCAAGGACAGUUUGAAGGUUAGAAGCAAAAUGGAGUCAACUGAGGUGGAUUUCUAUUACUGUUAUAAUUUAGCAAAGACAUUUUCAGGGUCUUGCUCUAUUGCCCAGGCUGAAAUACAAUGGCAUGAUGAUAGCUCACUGCACCCUUAAACUCUUGGGCUCAAGUGAUCUUCCCAUAUUUGUGUUUCAAAGUGCUGGGAUUACAGGUGUGAGCCACUGUGCCUGGACUCUGAAAAAUUUUGAAGGUCGGCUGGGCAUGGUGGCUGACACCUGUAAUCCCAGCAUUUUGGGAGGCCAAGGCUGGUGGAUCACGAGGUCAGGAGAUCAAGACCAUCCUGGCCAACAUGGUGAAACCCUGUCUCUACUAAAAAUACAAAAAUUAGCUGGGCGUGGAGAUGGGCAUCUGUAAUCCCAGCUACUCGAGAGGCUGAGGCAGGAGAAACGCUUGAACCUGGGAGGUGGAGAUUGCAUUGAGCCAAGAUCACGCCAUUGCACUCCAGCCUGGGCAACAGAGUGAGACUCCAUCUCAAAAAAAAAAAUUUUUUUUGAAGGUCUUUCUCUUGUCUUAUUGUAGCUGAGAAGUGUGAAGGCAUUCUGAUUCCUAGUCCUUUCUAAGUAGUCUAUUUUUCUCUCUGCAAGUUUAUAGGAUCUCUGUCCCCAGUGUUCUGAAACUUCACAGUGAUGUUGCUCAAUGUAGCUCUACUAGAAUCUAUUUUGCAGGAGCACUUGGUGGGCCCUUUUCAUCUAGCAAUUCAUGUCUUCAGUUGUGAAAAAUUUUUGUUAAAUUAUUUUACUAAUGAUUUUUCUGCUUCAUUUUCUCCUUGCUCUCUUCCUGGAACCCUUAUUACUCAUAUGUGAGACCUUCAGGUGUGCUCCCUUUAUUUUUCUUAUAUCUUCUCUUCUAUUUUCCGUCUGUCUUUUUGCUGUUUUCUUAACACUUUCUUGAACUUUAUCUUCAACUCUUCUGUUGAAUUUUUCAUUUCAGCUAUUAGCUGCUCUUUUAAUUCUCUGAAUUUUCUUUUGACAUAGCAUCAUUUUCUAUUUUCACAAAGGAAAUAUUUUCUCUCAGAAUUUUUUUUUUUUUUUUUAGACAGAGUCUCGCUCCAUCACCCAGGCUGGAGUGCAGUGUCAAGAUCUCGGCUCACUGCAACCUCUGCCACCUGGAUUCAAGCGAUUCUCCUGCCUCAGCCUCCCGAGUAGCUGGGACUACAGGCAUAUGCCACCACGACCCGGUAAUUUUUUCUAUUUUUAGUAGAGAUGGGGUUUCACUAUGUUGGCCAGGCUGAUCUUGAGCUCCGGACCUCAGGUGAUCUGUGAUUGGACUCCAGUGAAGACUCCAAGAUGGCGAUCGCCACCUCGGAUACCCUGAUUCAGCAUUUCCGGGUUCACCUUUCCUGUUCCCGCCACCCUGACUAACGCGCAUGCCCACUAGGGCGUGUCACACUCAGAAGCGCGAAACUCAACCGACCCCGCCCCUACCCCGCCCACUCUUCACCCAGCAUCCAUAAAAGCGCGCUGCACCUUUGGCACAGUGCGACUUCCCUGGCCCUCCCCCUGCGGACCAGUGAACCUCGCCUGAGAGCUCAAGAAAGAAGAUUUUUGCCCUCUUAGUCUCGCCUCUCCGCCUUAUUGUUCCACGGUGCCCUUCCAUUGCCUUUCAAUCUGCCCACCUUGGCCUCCCAAAGCGCUAGAAUUACAGGCGGGAGCCACUGCACCCAGUCUCUCUGAGGUUAUUAAGAAUAGCUUUGUUUGGGCUGGGUGCAGUGGCUCACACCUGUAAUCCCAGCACUUUGGGAGGCUGAGGCAGGUGGAUCACCUGAAGUCAGGAGUUCAAGAUCAGCCUGGCCAACAUGGUGAAACCCUGUCUCUACCAAAAAUACAAAAUUAGCUGGGUAUGGUGGCGCAUGCCUGUAAUCCCAGCUACUUGGGAGGUUAAGGCAGGAAAAUUGCUUGAACCCGGGAGGCGGAAGUUGUGGUGAGCCGAGAUUGUGCCAUUGCACUCCAGCCUGGGCAACAAGAGUGAAACUCCGUCUCGAAAAAAAAAAAGAAUAGCUUUGUUUGGCCAGGCACGGUGGCCCACUUUGGGAGCCGAGGUGCGUGGAUUGCUUGAGCUCAGGAGUUCGACAGCAGCCUCGGCAACAUGAUGAGACCCUGUCUCCUCUA